GCUUCUUCCAUAUUGAUAUGAAGAGUCAUCGAGUACUGUAGUCUGAAAAUCCAAAGUGAUCGAACGUUUCUAUACGUGUAUAGAUCUCUUUAAUUUGUAAGAUGAGAGCUAAGUGGCGUAAGAAGAGGAUGCGUAGGCUAAAACGCAAAAGGAGGAAGAUGCGUGCGAGGUCCAAAUAAACGGAUUUUCACACGUGACUCUCCGUGGGAAGAACAGACCUGUUUGCUUCAAUCAAUGGAUGAACUUCUAGAAUUUUGGUGGACGGACUAAACUCUUCAUCAUUUCAUUUUGACCAGCAAUUCCAAAAUACAAGUUCAAUGGAUGUUUUUUGCACAGAGAGCAUUUUAUAUAUGUAAAUCUUGUUUGGUUAAAUAUAUCAACUAUUCAAGAUAAAAA